GGAGGGCCAUAGCUCAGUGGUAGAGCAUCUACUUCAUGUGCAGAAGGUCCUGGGUUCAAUCCCCAGCAUCUCCA